CAAAUUUUGGUCCUACAAUAUGUAGUAAAAAAUAAUUAACCUAAAAUUUUUCUGUCAUUCACACACACAUCUAGGAAACAUUUCUUAGUUAAGACUAGCUUUUCUGGAAUAAGCAAGAAUAUGAUCACUUUCUUCUGUGAUCAUCUGUUGUCAGCUCUGCAUCCCUCAGGCUUUUUUGUUACUCUUGUUUUGAUUUAUCAUUUGAUCUUUUCCAUUUUGUCAUCUUUGAACACAACUGAAAUCCAGCAAUGAGGAUCACAUGAAAAAGAGUACAUUUUUGUGAGCAUUAAAAGCUGAAAUAAUCUAAUAAGAUGCUUUCCUCUCUGUCUCCCAGAAUGGGGGAUUCAGUCCUGAUUUACCUGGCUCCUCCCAUGGACCUCUGAAGACCAACACAACCAUGUUCCUUCCUGAGGCACCACUGAAGACAGAUAGAAUUUGUAGUCCCAAAUGUGGACAACACUCACAGAAAUAGGCUUCCAGCAGGAUCAAGAUGAGGGAAGAGGAAAGGUUGACUACUUUUGAGAUGCAAUUGAUUGAAUAUUGAAGUGGGAGCUGGGCCCUAAGAGCUGGAAAGAGGGAUGUACACUAGGUUUAUCAUGUGGUUUCAUGUGGCUUUACUUUAGUUUUCUGGUCUAUAAAGCUAGUCUCAGAAGUACGUGCUGUCCUAUAGUCACAAGUUAAGGUCCCAAAUGAAGCCAAGCCCAUGAGCUGUGGCAUAGGAUCCCAAGAGCACAAGACCUAGGGCCAACCUGUAAUAAACCUGAGCUGAGAGCAGGGAGGUGGCAUGGGUUCACAUAGCCUGUACAUGGCACAGGCACAGCUGUGAGGGCUGAGAGCAGAAAUCAAAGGCUUGAAUCUUGUCUACAAUAGGUGUGAUUUGACAAGGCUUCCAUGAAACAUAGGAUAAGUCAGGUUGGAAGGUACAUCAGGAGUUCACUGGUCCAACCUCCUGUCAUUCUUGCAGCUUUAUUGGGAGCCUUUUAUUUAUCUGUGAAGACCUCAUGCUAUCUCUGCUUGUUGUGCUGCAUGUAUGAAGUCCCAUUCUGAACUAGAGUCCAUGCAAAUCAUGAAACCCAACAAGCCUUUCCACUGAGAAGGAAGGAAUUUGCUCCACAAAUGCAUGGACACAAGUCAUUUCCCCAGAGUAACAUCAGAAGAGAAGCUUUAAUCUCCCAUCUAACCCUCUGCAUAUAAAGUUAUAGGUUAUCCUUUGCUUUGCAGAGGCUACACUGUAAUAAUUGAGUCCUUUAUCUGUAACUACCUCCAUCCAGGCUCCCUGGACUUUUGCAAUGACAAUAAAAGUUAAUAAAAGCUUCGGAAUAUAUUCUUA
rnacentral:lncRNA from 1 species